CGGUGGGUGCAUGAAUUUGCAGUUUGGACAAGUAGGGGAUGACUUGCACAGCAUUAUCAACAUGUGACACCUCAUACAAACCGUUGCAAUCAUCUCCUUCUGAUCUCCGUCUGAUGAGAGCCACGAUGGAGGUCGACUUAAAGCACCUGAAUCAUCCAUUUUAUCACACUUGCUUGAUUCAAUCAGCAGAUCAUGCUCACCAAAAGUGCCCCUGGUCGAACCACAGUUCUUCUCAUUUAUGUCAUAGCUUUCUUCUUUUUUCUUCAGUGACAGCUCCAGGUCCAGGCUCAUUUGACCAAGUGAUGAUGCUUUAGGAUCAGAGUUUCUCUCCAAAUCUGGUGUCUUCAUCAUACCCAUCCCUGCGUUGUUCAAGUGUAUCUGCCCUGACUGCAUCACAAUACUUCAGAUUAACUCGUUUCAACCAAAAUAAGUAGACAAAGCUCUAGAAAGCUUUGUAACAAGCAUUAGAUAACGAUAUCCUUAAACAUAAAUUUAAAAGCUUGAUCAAGAUGUUUGUGUGCAGAUUCAUCAGUAGAAAUUAAUCUUCAGAAGAAACACCCCAGUAGAAAGCUUUGUAUAAAGUUUAACACACACACACACACAUAUAUAAUAUCAAUAUUUAUGUAUAUAGUAUACCUGAAUAGUGAGGUAUUGUCGCAAUUUAUGCGAAGGUAAUGGUGUCUCGAGGUGAAGCUCUAUACCAAAGAUGGAUUUUCGUUUCUCUGCAUCAGUUGGGUGAAUCUUGAAGAAUUCUUCAGUGAGGGUCUCUUCUUGGCACUUUCUCUUUCUUGGUGGAGAUUCAAAUUCUGCAGGAACU
rnacentral:lncRNA from 1 species